rnacentral:rRNA from 1 species
CCUACGGGAGGCAGCAGUCGGGAAUAUUGCGCAAUGGAGGAAACUCUGACGCAGCGACGCCGCGUAUAGGAAGAAGGUUUUCGGAUUGUAACCUAUUGUCGUUAGGGAAGAUAAAAGACUGUACCUAAGGAGGAAGCCCCGGCUAACUAUGUGCCAGCAGCCGCGGUAAUACAUAGGGGGCAAGCGUUAUCCGGAAUUAUUGGGUGUAAAGGGUGCGUAGACGGAAGAACAAGUUGGUUGUGAAAACCCUCGGCUCAACUGAGGAACUGCAACCAAAACUAUUCUCCUUGAGUGUCGGAGAGGAAAGUGGAAUUCCUAGUGUAGCGGUGAAAUGCGUAGAUAUUAGGAGGAACACCAGUGGCGAAGGCAGUUCACUGGACUGCAACUGACACUGAGGCUCGAAAGUGUGGGUAUCAAACAGGAUUAGAUACCCCAGUAGUC